CAGUCGCCACGGGAAUACGUAGGGUGCAAGCGUUGUCCGGAAUUAUUGGGCGUAAAGAGCUCGUAGGCGGCUAGUCACGUCGGCUGUGAAAACCUGAGGCUCAACCUCGGGCUUGCAGCCGAUACGGGCUAGCUAGAAUUCGGUAGGGGAGACUGGAAUUCCUGGUGUAGCGGUGAAAUGCGCAGAUAUCAGGAGGAACACCGGUGGCGAAGGCGGGUCUCUGGGCCGAUAUUGACGCUGGGGAGCGAAAGCGUGGGGAGCAAACAGGAUUAGAUACCCCUGUAGUCCCUGUCUCUUAUAA
rnacentral:rRNA from 1 species